UUCCAGACUCCUACGGGAGGCAGCAGUGGGGAAUAUUGCACAAUGGGGGAAACCCUGAUGCAGCGACGCCGCGUGAGUGAAGAAGUAUUUCGGUAUGUAAAGCUCUAUCAGCAGGGAAGAAAAUGACGGUACCUGACUAAGAAGCCCCGGCUAACUACGUGCCAGCAGCCGCGGUAAUACGUAGGGGGCAAGCGUUAUCCGGAUUUACUGGGUGUAAAGGGAGCGUAGACGGCGAUGCAAGCCAGAUGUGAAAGCCCGCGGCUCAACUGCGGUAGUGCAUUUGGAACUGUAUGGCUGGAGUGCAGGAGAGGCAGGCGGAAUUCCUAGUGUAGCGGUGAAAUGCGUAGAUAUUAGGAGGAACACCAGUGGCGAAGGCGGCUUACUGGACUGUAACUGACGUUGAGGCUCGAAAGCGUGGGGAGCAAACAGGAUUAGAUACCCCCGUAU
rnacentral:rRNA from 1 species